ensembl:lncRNA
UAAAUCCACACCACCUACAGAGUAUUUGUUCCACUUGUAGAAAGAUCAUUUGUCCUGACCUGAAUUUCUAGUUUUAUCAUCCCUGUUAAUGCUAAAUACUGAAUGUUUUGGGACAAUGUUAUCCACAUCAUUGACUUCAUAUUACAGGUUUGUUUUAACUACCUAUUCUGUCCAUUUUGGCUUUCCACCCCUUGUGUUGAAUGUAGUAAUGAGAGCAUUGAGUUUGUGUUCAAUGAUAUAUCCAAAUGUGUGUUAAAAGAGCAAGGAUGUUUAGUCACAGAAUAGAGGCAAAGUAUUCCAGUAUAUUUGUAGCCUAUACCAUUGAGUUGAUGAUGGACAGAGUGCUAUUGCUAUGUAUUGUGAUCAAAUAUUCUCAUAUUCAAUUUGUGAUGUUUUCCCACUCAAAAAAAAAAAAUUUAAGGAGCAACUGAGUCCUGAGUUGUCUUGUCACUGUAGUAAUAGAAACAAGUGAAAGAUUACUUGGAUAUCCUUCUCUCUUCAGAACCAUCUCUAUUUAGGACAAAUGUAACGGUUGUCUGUUUUUUAUUUAUAUUUACUCAAAAGAUUUUCAUUUGUAGUCCAUUUUUGACCAUUUUUCUUUUUUUCAAAGUGUUCCACGUUUUGGUGUAUCUCACCAAUUUUUUUUUUUUAAAUGCUCUGAAAUUUGGGUUUUAUAUGUAUUGUAGUAAACUGUUUUCAACAUUCAACGGACUGGUGAUGUUUCUGCUAGACUGCUGUGCACUAGUCAUAUUUAACCACCAGAUGGAGCCAUUUGCCAUGUCAAAGGAAAUCCUGAAAUGGACCUAAUUUGAGUAUUUAUUGUUCAUAAACUAAUCUCAUUUCCCCACAUUACAGAGAAUAUGCAUUUAUAUCUAUCGAGCGAAUCAAUGAUUGAUAUACUAAUAGUUGAUUUAUACAUCGCCUAGACUAUUUUAGACUUUCAAAAAACUGUUGAAUUCCAGAGUACCAUCUAGAUGACAGAUUGAAUAUUGCCUCCAUUAGUCCAACUCUGAAUAUUGAGCUAAUUCAAUGGAAUAUUCUCUUCCACCUGGUCUGUAUGAAGAGGCUACAACCAGGCCCUAGAGUAAAUCCUGCUUUGAUCACAUGGUGGUCAGGAAAACACCCUCACACACACACACGUAUACAUAGGCAACUAUAGUACAGCGUUUAUCACUACCUGUGACAUUUAGUCCUCCUUUUAACCAGCUCGUAUUUGAGAUGAAAUGUAAACGCACCACUGGAUAUACAACUAUAGGUUGAUUGCUGUUACAUAUAGUGCCAACAUUAAGGAACAGGCAGUACAUCUGUGUCUUUCUGUGCUGGGCCCAGCAACAUCCAAGUUGUGAAUAAAUAAACACUUUUUAGAUAAUGACUACUGAAUAAAUGCCUAAUAGAUGACCAUUGGCUCAUACCUUUAAAAGCCUAACUUCUUAUUGCAACUAUAAGUGCCUGGCUGUCAUAUGUCCCCCGCCAUCCUAAGCGUUAAUUACAGGUAUAGGUACUAGGAUGUUGCUGGGCCCAGCACAGGCAGUGUGGUCUUCUGGUCCCAGUGAUGCCGACGCAGCACAGGCAGUGUGGUCUUCUGGUCCCAGUGAUGCCGAAGCAGCACAGGCAGUGUGGUCUUCUGGUCCCAGUGAUGCCGAGCAGCACAGGCAGUGUGGUCUUCUGGUCCCAGUGAUGCCGAAGUAGCAC